CUUGUUGAAGGUGUAUUAACGUGUUCAGAGUUGUGUUUACAUACCAAGUCAUGUGACGACAAAAUUAACUCUAAUGUUCGACAUGCUAAAACUCAUUAAUCUACAGACAUGUUAGGAAUGGAUUAAUACACUUAUAUUCCAUUUUAAUAUGUCAAUAUGCUGAAAAAUACAUGAACAUUCUAAUAUCCAACAUGCUAACGUGGUUAAAUUCGCGUUAACAUACAACAACAUAUCAUAACAUUUUAACCCAGUAUUUAACAUGUUUAGUAGGUUGAAAGUUAUACUAAACACAGGAGUUAAUAUUAACAUGCUAAAAAUAUUAUAAUGCCUAGAUUUGUUUUACUAUACCUAAAUUGUGUUGACGUGCUAAACAUGCAAUGACAUGUUAAUAAGUGGUAAUUUAAGUGUCUAAGUGCUUUGAGUAUUAAGUGAUUCACGUAGCAUGUAAUACACGUAAAGGCCUAAGUCGUAUUUACCUAUACUAUGCAUAGACCCCGCCCUUCCCCCUCCGAGCAGUCCCCAAAAUUUAUUAUUACAUCAAUAAUAAUGUCUUAACGAUAUUACAGACCAAAAUUAAUGAAGAAUAAAACAAACUAAGUUACAAGCCGACAGCUUCCCUUCCAAUUCCCGGGCGAUUCUAUGGAACCGCUUUAAUAACACCUGUUUAGAAGCAGACAGAAGUACCAAUGCACACACGGAACAAAAUAGGAGCGCUAGCACAUGAUUUUAAGCAGAGGAAAUAACGAAAUAUGAGCACAAGCAAUAAUGAAUUAUCCCAAAUUACUCCUAUAGGCAUGCUUUCUAUGUUUUCAUGGCAUGAUAUAAUCAACACAAAACAUGAAUAAAAUAUUGCAUCGAUUUGGAAACUUACCAGUGAGAGAAAACAAGAAUAAUAAAGUCAAGCACUUGUAAUGCAAGAUGUUUUCAGCAAGCUUUGAAGAAAACCCAAGGACUCUUGAAAAUAUAUAAUUGCCUUGUAUUAAAAUAGCCUGUAAUUCUUUUUCUUUGUUUUAAAGAAUAGUGAUUGUAAUUCAAGAACUGUCCAUCAAUGAAAAGAGAGGGGGUUUAUACAGUAAAGAGAGGUCCGAAAAUAAAAGACAAGGAGAAUAUUUUGCAAAAUCAUUUAAGGAAAAAAUCCUUGAAAGAUGGGAUCAAUCGCGUGAAAUUCAGCCCAAAAUAGAACGGAUAUUUUCCUUGAUAUAAGGACUAAAUCAGUUAAGCAAAUUUACCAUAAAUACAAAUCAAAUAUUUUGAAUUGAAUCAGUGAAUAUUCGGACAAUGAACAAUUGUGUCAUUUACCUUUUACCAUAUAUAUAAGCGGUGAAAAGGCAAUUAAUAAUACAAGAUAUUUUUCAAUAGUCAGAUCUAAAUUACAGCUUAAAACACCGACAAUGUCACAAUAAAAUAUCAAAUUAUCAUGAAGUCACGACGUCAAAUUAGUCCGAAUUAUUUCCAUAGUAAAAGAAGCGUAUCAAUUUAUGAAUGACAACUCCGCAUAUAAUUUAAGUUUGACUAAAAGUCAUGCAACAACGACUCUUCACAUAUAUCAAUGUACGGAUGUAAACAAAUAUGAUAAGAAUGAAUUUAGAAGAAGGGUUAAGCAAUCAAAUUCCACAAAAUUAAAAUUAAGGACUAAACUUUACUAAAGGACGAAGAAAUGGAUACAAGACGAUGAGAGUUAUGAAUUGACGAAAAAUUAAUAAGAGAACAAACCCCUUAAAUGAUGAUUUCUGUGACUCCUUUACGAUUUUCGGAUAAUUAAGUGGAACAGGGGCGCCCGGAGGGAAAUGGUCCAAGGAGGAGAAACGACGGUGAGGCAAAGCGGUUGUUAGUGCCGCUGUUUUGAGGGGUUUUGCCGGUGGAGACGGUUGAAUCAGUGGCGUUGAGUUGUGACAAACGGAGGGGGACAUGGAAGGCGACGGCGACGGCGACGGCGACGGCGGCGGCAGAUCUGGGCACUGACGGAGGAGAGAUGUGGCGCCAUAGCUGGCGUCGGCGUUGGUGGGUCCCCGGAGACGGCUUUCGCUGGUGGGAGGCGUCCAUGGCCGGUGCGGCGUUCAGAUCUAGGCGGAGGACGGAGGCGGAGCAGCGGCUGGUUGCCAUCUCCUCCGGCGGCGACGGGAUUUUUGGAAGGGAGAUCGGAGAUUUGGAAAGGGUUUUGAGGUUGUUGGUGGUUUCAUGAUGGAGGGAGUAGAGACGCCGGCGAGGGGAGCCAUGAAGAGGCGGCGGCAAUGGAUGUUUAGUGAGAAGAUAGAGAGAGAAGAAAGCGUGUAAAGAGUGGGGGAGUGGGGCGGCUGGUAGGUUUAGGAAAUUACGGUUUAGGUUUUGUAAUUUAAAAAGGAAAGAAAGUGGUCUUUGGAUCU
rnacentral:lncRNA from 1 species